rnacentral:rRNA from 1 species
GACGAACGCUGGCGGCGUGCUUAACAACAUGCAAGUCGAGCGGGAUCCAACCGGUGGCAACACCGGGGAAGAUCUAGCGGCGAACGGGUGAGUAACACGUGAGCAACCUGCCCCGAAGACUGGGAUAACACCGGGAAACCGGUGCUAAUACCGGAUGUCGUCAUUAGGCCGCAUGACCUGAUGAUGAAAGGAUUCAUCGCUUCGGGAGGGGCUCGCGGGCUAUCAGCUUGNGGUGGGGUAACGGCCUACCAAGGCGACGACGGCUAGCUGGUCUGAGAGGACGACCAGCCACACUGGGACUGAGACACGGCCCAGACUCCUACGGGAGGCAGCAGUGGGGAAUCUUGCGCAACUGGGCGAAAGCCUGACGCAGCAACGCCGCGUGGGGGAUGAAUGCCUUC